GCAUCGGUGGCCUAGGUGUUAGCGCGUCCGCCUCGGAUGCAAGAGGUCGCGGGAUCGAACCCCGGCUGAUUCA